UACAUAGGUUACAAGCGUUAUCCGGAUUUACUGGGCGUAAAGCGAGCGCAGGCUGAUUUACAAGUCUGGUGUUAAAUGCAGUUGCUCAACAACUGUUUGCAUUGGAAACUGUAAGUCUAGAGUGUGAUAGGGAGUUCUGGAACUCCAUGUGGAGCGGUGGAAUGCGUAGAUAUAUGGAAGAACACCAGUGGCGAAAGCGAGAACUUAGGUCACAACUGACGCUUAGGCUCGAAAGUGUGGGGAGCAAAUAG
rnacentral:rRNA from 1 species